rnacentral:rRNA from 1 species
GACGAACGCUGGCGGCGUGCCUAAUACAUGCAAGUAGGACGCAGUUGCGAACGGGUGAGUAACGCGUCGGUAACUGCCUAUUAGAGGGGGAUAACUAGUGGAAACGUUAGCUAAUACCGCAUACUAAUAGAUGGACCUGCGUUGUAUUAGCUAGUAGGUAAGGUAAUGGCCUACCUAGGCAACGAUACAUAGCCGACCUGAGAGGGUGAUCGGCCACACUGGGACUGAGACACGGCCCAGACUCAUACGGGAGGCAGCAGUAGGGAAUCUUCGGCAAUGGAGGGAACCCUGACCGAGCAACGCCGCGUGAGUGAAGAGGGUUUUCGGAUCGUAAAGCUCUGUUGUUAAGGAAGCGGUACUUAACCAGAAAGGGACGGCUAACUACGUGCCAGCAGCCGCGGUAAUUC